CCUACGGGGGGCUGCAGUCGAGAAUCUUCGGCAAUGGGCGCAAGCCUGACCGAGCGACGCCGCGUGCGGGAUGAAGGCCUUCGGGUUGUAAACCGCUGUCGAGGGGGAUGAAGUGCAGGUGGGUUCUCCCAUCUGUUUGACAGAUCCCUGGAGGAAGCAUGGGCUAAGUUCGUGCCAGCAGCCGCGGUAAGAGGAACCAUGCAAACGUUAUUCGGAUUCACUGGGCUAGACGCGCGUGUAGGCGGUGUGUGAAAGCCCUCAGCCCAACUGAGGAAUUGCGCUUGAUACUGCAUGACUAGAGAAUGAUAGAGGUGGGUGGAACUGAUGGUGGAGCGGUGAAAUGCGUUGAUAUCAUCAGGAACACCAGUGGCGAAGGCGACCCACUGGGUCAUUUCUGACGCUGAGGUACGAAAGCUAGGGUAGCGAACGGGAUUAGAUACCCCUGUAGUC
rnacentral:rRNA from 1 species